rnacentral:tRNA from 5 species
GGAGGUGUGGCCGAGCGGUUUAAGGCACCGGUCUUGAAAACCGGCGAUGGUGCAAGCCAUCCGUGAGUUCGAAUCUCACCGCCUCCGCCA